GGGGAAUAUUGCACAAUGGGCGCAAGCCUGAUGCAGCCAUGCCGCGUGUAUGAAGAAGGCCUUAGGGUUGUAAAGUACUUUCAGCGGGGAGGAAGGUGAUAAGGUUAAUACCCUUAUCAAUUGACGUUACCCGCAGAAGAAGCACCGGCUAACUCCGUGCCAGCAGCCGCGGUAAUACGGAGGGUGCAAGCGUUAAUCGGAAUUACUGGGCGUAAAGCGCACGCAGGCGGUCAAUUAAGUCAGAUGUGAAAGCCCCGAGCUUAACUUGGGAAUUGCAUCUGAAACUGGUUGGCUAGAGUCUUGUAGAGGGGGGUAGAAUUCCAUGUGUAGCGGUGAAAUGCGUAGAGAUGUGGAGGAAUACCGGUGGCGAAGGCGGCCCCCUGGACAAAGACUGACGCUCAGGUGCGAAAGCGUGGGGAGCAAACA
rnacentral:rRNA from 1 species